AAAGUAUCAGGAUUCAAUCCCCCAUCCCGAUGGAUUUCUGUCUUGACUGCGCCCCCCCCCCUUCCUGGAUUUAACAGCAGCAAUACCUAAAACACGGAGGGAUCUAAGCUCGUGGCGUGGGGUGGGGGAGGGAAGGAUUUUGCAAUAUAAACAUUGUGGGGGGGGACACACCACUUUGCAGUAGGAUUGCCGGGAUCAGCCCCUCCCCCAUUCUCCUGAUUCUCAGGAGGAAGAGGGGAGGGGGGACACCUUCCUCUCCUCCCCGCCCCCCAAGUUCCACCCUUCCCAGACCCCGCCUCCGCAAAGCCCAAAUCCCCUCCCCAAUAUGUUGCUCCUCUUCCUCGCCAUCCGGCUCCUGCUUCGGGAAAGUGGGGGCGGGGUGAACCCCCCUCCCAACCUGCCUGCUUCUCCCGCAAGUGGAGCUUCUGCGCCGGAUUGCUGCUCUGCGCCGUAGCUCUAGGGGGGGGGCGCUUUCGGAAAGGGGAGGAGGGGCAGCAGGUAAAAUCCCCCCCCACCCACGUGGAUGUUGCAGGAAAGGAAAGGAGAAUCGGGAGCGAGGACAAAGAGGCAGUGUCAGACUGACAGACAAGCUGAGAUACAAUCCAUCAAAAUUCAAUGACAGCGGCUGCGUGAAUCUUCCCAGUCAAAGGACCCAUUUUCAUGAUAGACAGCCCCCGUGGCUGGAGGCUCAACCCCCAGGGUGUGCCUAUACAGGCCAAAGACUGCCAGCAUUAGCACAGGAUCAGGAUCCUCAGGAGCGUGUCCUGGUGGCCAGAUUAAGGCAGUGUCAGACUGACAGACAAGCUGAGAUACAAUCCAUCAAAAUUCAAUGA
rnacentral:lncRNA from 1 species